rnacentral:tRNA from 1 species
UCCCUUGUGACUCAGCUGGUAAAGCAUCCACCUGCAAUGUGGGAGACCUAGGUUCAAUCCCUGGGUUGGGAA